ACGAAAUUGAAGUGACGUGGGAAGAGUUUUACAAGUGCCAAUUGCACUUGAUUAACGUAACUUUAAACACUCCAUACACGAAAUUCAAAUGCGCGGAUGGUGGUGACAAAUCGACAGUCAAAGAGAUUUCUUUCACUAUUAAAGAAAUAGACAACGACCCAUUGUCUAAUUCAAUUAUCCU